GAUAAACGCUAGCGGCGCGCCUAAUGCAUGCAAGUCGAGCGAUGAGGUCCUACGGGGCCAUCAGCGGCAGACGGGUGAGUAACACAUGGGUAACCUACCUUCAAGCCGGGGAUAACGGAUGGAAACGUUCGCUAAUACCCGAUGCAUACGCUUAAGAGGAGACUAUAGGCGUAGAAAGUUACGGCGCUUGAAGAGGGGCCUGUGGCCCAUCAGUUAGUUGGUAGGGUAACGGCCUACCAAGGCGAAGACGGGUAGGGGUGUGAGAGCACGGCCCCCCACAAUGGGACUGAGAGACGGCCCAUACUCUUACGGGAGGCAGCAGCAGGGAAUCUUGCGCAAUGGACGGCAGUCCGACGCAGCGACGCCGCGUGGGUGAAGACGGCCUUCGGGUUGUAAAGCCCUUUUCUGGGGAAGAGAUAGGACGGUACUCCAGGAAUAAGUGUCGGCUAACUACGUGCCAGCAGCCGCGGUAAGACGUAGCGUG
rnacentral:rRNA from 1 species